UCUCUGGAUUUAAAACAGACGUCAGGCUAACAUUAAAACCAGUCACAGUCUACUCACACAAUCUAACAACUGAUAUUUACAAUUUUUAAAUGUCU